rnacentral:rRNA from 1 species
GACGAACGCUGGCGGCGUGCUUAACACAUGCAAGUCGAACGGUAAGGCCCUUCGGGGUACACGAGUGGCGAACGGGUGAGUAACACGUGGGUGAUCUGCCCUGCACUUCGGGAUAAGCCUGGGAAACUGGGUCUAAUACCGGAUAGGACCCUGGGAUGCAUGUCCUGGGGUGGAAAGCUUUUGCGGUGUGGGAUGGGCCCGCGGCCUAUCAGCUUGUUGGUGGGGUGAUGGCCACCAAGGCGACGACGGGUAGCCGGCCUGAGAGGGUGACCGGCCACACUGGGACUGAGAUACGGCCCAGACUCCUACGGGAGGCAGCAGUGGGGAAUAUUGCACAAUGGGCGCAAGCCUGAUGCAGCGACGCCGCGUGAGGGAUGACGGCCUUCGGGUCGUAAACCUCUUUCAGCACCGACGAAGCCCAAGUGACGGUAGGUGCAGAAGAAGGACCGGCCAACUACGCGCCAGCCGCCGCCGUAA